rnacentral:rRNA from 1 species
UACGUAGGGGGCAAGCGUUGUCCGGAAUUAUUGGGCGUAAAGCGCGCGCAGGCGGUUUCAUAAGUCAGGUGUAAAAGGCAUUGGCUCAACCAAUGUAAGCAUUUGAAACUGUGAGGCUUGAGUAUAGGAGAGGUAAGUGGAAUUCCUAGUGUAGAGGUGAAAUUCGUAGAUAUUAGGAGGAACACCAGUGGCGAAGGCGACUUACUGGACUGUAACUGACACUGAGGCACGAAAGCGUGGGUAGCGAACAGG